GAUGCGGCGCCGGAGUGAGUGCGCAGGCGCGAGCCCGCGGGAGGGUGGGGCGCCUUCGACUGUAAGACCGUGGUGGCUUCUAGCAGCGCUGUCUCACGUUAGGGAGAUUUUGUUUUGAGAAGCUGGGUGGGAACUGCGUGACGACCUUACCCCCGCUACCUCAAGGAAGCCCCUCCUCGUUAGAGCCUGUGGGUGCCUAACUCAGGCGUAAGGGAGAAAGGGGAAGAGAACCUUAAAUAAGUCUCACUUUUCUGGUGUGAAAUAACCAGUCUCUUCCAAAGUUUGUCAGAAGGUAGUAACUUGCCGCAUUCUUAGUGGGCACUACGUGAAUGGUGAUUAAGGUACCCCCAACCCUAGCUCAGUGUCAGGCACUAUGCUAAGUGCUUCAAGAUUAGCACAGUGUAGAAUGCAGCAAAAAUCUCCAGUUAAAUAUAUGGCCAGAGUUGUUUCAGCUGGAACACUGGAGAAAUAGAUGACAUUUGGUAGCUCAAGAGAUCAAUAUGAUAGUGUAGAUUGUAAUAUUUCGUUUUAUAAAGAUAACUGCUAGUUUCUUCUGUCUCUUUCUACUGCUGUGACAAAGACUUGACCAAACUUCAGACAUUUCCCUCUGAGUCCUCUAGGCCACAUCUUUGGGCCCAAUCCCUGUCCUGCAGAGCCCUAGUUUUAGCAAGAAUCCUGCUAAGUCAGUUUAGGUAGAAGCCCCAUUCUUGAUAUAUGAUCAAGUUCCUUAUCCUCUACUUUUGAUGUUUACAUUCUUGUCCUGCCUUUAGCAAGAAUCCUAUUGAGACAGGUUUGCAAGAAUCCCCCAACUUUGCUGUCUCCUUUUGGUAAUUUUCCAUCCAUGAUCCCCUUACUCUACUUGUUGCUGUAAAUCUGCAGCUGUCUUUGCUGUAUUGGGAGUGGAGUUCAAUUUUACUGAAGCCUCUCUCCCCUAUUGCAGUAGUACUGAAUAAAAUAUUUCUUUACUACUUUUAACUAGUGUCUUUAUUUAACUAACUUUAUUUCCUUUGAGAGCAGCCCCAACUAUUGCAAAAUGUUGAAAAAUAUGAAAGUCUUCACGAUUCAUUUAUCCAAGCUAAGUAAGGUAAUGCAUAUAGUACCAAACUAAGUAAAAAAUAUGUCAUUACAGUAUGACAAAUACCUUGAACCAACAGUUUAUCCACCACUACAGGGCAUUCUUACAUUAGCAACUACAUGAACAUAUUCAUCAUAGUUGCUCUGGUAUAGAAAUGGUGCUUGAUAAAACUCAAAACAUAAAGCGUGCAAUUUCCAAACAAGUAGGCAGAGGGUAUGGAACAGGGAAGAGGGAAGACAAAAUAAAUAACAUGACAUGACAUGACAUGACAUGACAUGAACUACAUCCACAAAAAAAAAAAAAAAACUAACAACCCAGAAACAAAAAUUUAGACCAAAUGUACGUAAGGAGAUGGUAGCAAUAAACCUAGGUCUAUCAGUAACUACUAGAUAUGCACAUGGAAUGAACUUUCGAAUUAAAAAUAUUGUAAGACUAGAUUUUUAAAAAUAUAGAUAUCUACUAAAACAAGGAUACACACAUAAGUAGAAAGAUGGAAAAAGAUACACCUGGCAAAUAAUUAAACAAAGAAAAUUCAUGUGGCUACAUUUGGUUAAAUGCAAAAUAACACGUUAAGAAAAAACACUACUAGAAGUAGGAAAAGUAAUUACAUAGCAAUAAAAAGUUAAUUCACCAAGAAAAUAUUAAUAAACUCAUGUAUUUAACGAUGUAGCUUCAAAAUAUAUAAAGCAAAAAUUGACAAGAGAAUUGACAAAUCCAUUACAGAGAUAUUUUUAACUUAUUAUUAUCAGUAACUGAUAGAAAAGCUGAUCCUCAACUCCCCCCAAAAAAGUCACCAAGUAUAUAGAAUUUCUGAACAAAAAUUAAUGUUUGAUUUAAUGUAGAGACAUAUAGAAAUUCCAAAAUUAAUGAAAACACAUUUUUAACACUUUUAUUUUAAAAAAUUACCUCAUGCUAGGCUAUAAAGUAGUCUCAAAAAUUUCAAAGAACUGGUAUCAGAAAAACCACACAAUUUCAUAACAAUGCCAAUUAGACAUUUUUUUAAAAGAUCAGAAACUUCUUUAAAAAUUUAGGUAAAGGUACUAUUUAGAGACUGGGCCAGUCACGCUAACAGAUUCUUUCCUUUACCACACUCUCAUCAGACUCUUCUGAGCUUUUUUAAAAACUGCCCCCUUGUUGCAGCAAGUACAUACAUACCUCCUUAAUACUUGGACCUGAGGCUGCCUUUCCCUUCUCAAAUUGUCAUCCCUAUUUCCUUAACUCAGGGGGAACCCUGCUUUCUGCCUGGAUCCCUUCCUCACUGCAUCCCUUCCAGCUCCAGAAGUUCUGAGCUGGGACAGCCAGGAUGGUUCCUGCCUCCAGACAGCGCCCUGCACUCCUGUCGUUAUGCUUCAUUGUAGUUCAUCGGGCUUUUUACUCAUUUGAUGCUGGAAGGAAGUAUGGAUCUUGUGACUUCAUUACAGACGGAAGGGGAAGCUCAAGAUUCUUUAUUACCUUAAAAUGACAUAUUACUAGCUUCGUUCUUAAAACAUUAGAUUAUUAUUUUCAAUACCGUGAUCUCCCAUAUUUUAACAAAUUCACAGAGAGAAAAUUUCCUUACCCAAUGAGACCAGGUUACUAUAGUUCUCCAGCAUCACGUCCUGGUACAAGUUUCUCUGAGAAGGACCCAGCUUUCUCCACUCCUCCCGCGUAAAGAGCACAGCCACAUCCUCGAACGUCAGUGACACCUGUAAUGACAAGCCAUCCCAGCUCACCCAGGACCUCCCAUCACACAGAGUGAAGAAGGUGGCAGUGGGGGGUAGAUGGGCUCCCAUGAAACGCUUCUGAUGUUAUUCUGGUUUCUGAAGGUUUCAGGUCAUUUGUUUAAUGAACAAUUGGCCAGUGACAAAUAUAUACUGAAGUGUUCAUGAAAGCAUGACUUGUUAACCAGGCCCUGUGUUAAACACUGUAAGGACAUGUGGGGAGGAAUUAAGGACAUUAGUGGGAAUGUUAAUUAGAAUAACAUUUCUGAUGACAAUUUGAUAAUAGAUAUUUAAAGACUUAAAA